GAUGAAGAACGUAGCGAAAUGCGAUAAGUAAUGUGAAUUGCAGAAUUCAGUGAAUCAUCGAAUCUUUGAACGCACAUUGCGCCCUCCGGCAUUCCGGGGGGCAUGCCUGUCCGAGCGUCACGAAAACCCCAUCACACUCGUUGUGGUCAUGGCUGCAGUGAGUCAUCUCCAGCGGAGAGGGUCACGCCGCUGAAAGGAAUGGUGCGGAUGAGUUCCGAUGGCCGAACGUAGUACUUGACAACCGUCGGCCGAUGGGACCCUCCAUCUCGCCCUGACGACGUACCCCCGUCGUACCCCCGAUCAGGUGGACCUCGGAUCAGGUAGGGAUACCCGCUGAACUUAAGCAUAUCAAUAAGCGGAGGA
rnacentral:misc_RNA from 1 species